CCUGAAUUUGCUGUGACUUUCUAGCACAGAUCCUGAUAGUGAGGUGGCUGCAGAAAUGCAGAGCUCAGUGCAGGCCACUCACUGCACUUAAGGAGGUAGGUGGAUAUAUCAGGCUUUCUGCACUGAGAAAUUGGAAAAUGCAUUAUUCUCAGUUGUUGAAAUGAGCCUUCUUCAAACAUGCACCUCCAAGGAAUUUGGUCAUCGCUUUGGUCUUCGUGGUCACAGGAGUGGUACAAAUAUUUGUCCUCUUUCCUUUUCUUCAGUUGUGUGCAUCAGUGGAGCACAGCACCCCAGGCUUACCAUCACACAGAGCUCCUAUGACAUCCUGGCAUCAGGGCAAUAGUGUGCGUUAUUACACAGUGAGCAGGCUUUGUUAGUGCUGGAGCAUCUGCAUGUAGUCUCAGUAGAAAUUCCUCUGGGGCUCAAUGUCUGUCAGUCCAGAACGCUGAGUAGGAUUUCAGAAGGGAUAAAGCCUUGUGGGGAAGUGCCAGUAUUUCAUCUUACAAACAGCUGAGGCAAGGAAAGUAUUGCUGGCUAUUAUUGUGUUAGGUUUUAAUUACUGGUACACUGCCAUCUUGUUACAAGGUGGAAGGGGCUAAAAGCUGAGCGAAAGAUGGGGUAGCUUUCUUUUAAUUCAAGGCAGGCGCUUCAGCACAGGGGUAUUGGAUACCUACAGGGUACAGCAUGCCUGGAAAGGCAGGUGCUUUUGUAAAUAACAUUUCUCUACUGAUGGUACAGGAGAGGAAGGCUUGGGUGAGGCACCGUGGUUCUGCAUUUGUGACCUCCAUCUGGGUUAUUUUUCUGUGGAAAAAUCAGGGCACUUAGUAGCAAAACCACUUUGAUUGAAUACAACCAGGCAACCAUCUGCUGGCUGGAAAACACAGCAAACACAUUAUGCAUGUGGAUACGUGUCUGGGGGACACGCUGCCACUCCUAGGAUGUUUGAAAUCCCAGUUAGUCUGCUGAGUCUGAUGGAAAGGUGGUUUCCAUCAAAGGGAGAGAGGGGAGGAAAAAAAGAAAGAAUCUCCAAAAGAGGAAGGUUUGUAAGGCAGUAGGCUAGGCUAUUAUCUGCUGCACUGCCUGCAUUUCAUCAGUGGAAAUUGCUUCUUAUUUGUGAAACAGCUGUCACAUUUCACUCCAGAGGUGGUGAGUUUUUGUAAGUGUACACACACAAUAAUGGGUUUUGAUUUCCACAAAUAAAAUCCUGUCCUGGCUCUGAAAUGUAAGCAUUUUGGAUGCUAAGUGAAAACAACACCGUUCCUUUGCGCUGAAGAAGAACAGCAGUCCCUUUCCACUGUAACUUUCUGAAGAUGGAGAAUGUUUCCUUUUCCUCUCCUUCUGUUUUGCCAUGAAUACACAAGCACCCAGUAAGUCCUCCUCCCUCUGCUUGGCACAGAAAAUUCCCAACGACGUGAGCUUGAAGGGUUGCCCAGGUGGGAAGAAAUCUCUGCAGGUGUGAUUGUAAUUUCCUUAGUUUGGUUGUGGAAACCCAACCUGCUUUACAAGCUUUGCACAUUACUCCAAGCUGUGUUCCUUACCCUGUCAUGAAUGGUAUGUUUUUCUCCUGCUUUAUGUAAGUUGCAUACAAGUUACUUUUGCAAAGCUAACUUUCCAAUCUAGCUGGCAAAUAAUUUUUCAUUGCAGCUCCUCAAUUUUUCACACAUCAUGGACCUUACGGGGAAAUCAAUGGGAAUGCAGCACCUCCGUUAGGCGAGCUCUGCCUUAAAGGCAUUGCAAAGCAUAAUAAGUAUGAUUAAUAUUUCUGUUCCUCAAAAACUUCUUGUUAAGCUACUGAUCUUUUCUAAUCUCUCAUGUGGCUCCUUAACACAGGUUUGUCUGCAUCGAUUUAUUUCCGCAGAUCAUUUUAGCUCUCACACAGUUUCAACUCAUCUUGUGUUCUUGACGCAGUUUGUUGCCUCUGGAUAUACUGCAGGACAGAGCGAGCUGGUGAGUCUCUUCAGACACUUUGUUUUGGUUUUGCAUUUGAACUUCCCAGGUUUCCUCUAAUCAUGAGACAGACAGGCAUGGAUAGCUUCCAGCUGAGAUGUCUUCUGAACUUCUUGCUCAUUUCUGCACAUAAUGAAGCAUCUGUGUACAGAUCACUACUUGGUUGCGCAGCUGGCCUGGGUUGUAGAUGACGACUGAAAAUCUAUCCAUAGAGAGGUGAAUUGGAGUCGACUGCUGUGGAUCAACUCCAUUCUCAAGUAUAAAUCUAAAAUAAACCUCGCAUGGGACACAGCAGAUCCCAUUCCUCAGCUUCUAUGGCAAGCUUUGCUGAUAUAUUAAGAUGUAUUAAUUUUUACUAUCAUCAGCAGAGCUGCAGGAAAUUAUGCUAAUCUGUAGUACUGGGUUAUACUUAAUGUGGGAGAUUUGCCUUGGAUUUGAGGUCACCUGUUAAUGCUUAGCAUAUAGGAUGUGAAAACUACGCAGAGAUUGCUGGUAACUGGCAAUCUGUGCAAUAUGGAAACUGUGUUGAAAGCACAGGGCAGAAGGAACCUGCCUGCCUGCCUUGAAAGGAACGUAGAGGUGGAAGGAAUCACUAUUGCAGGCUGGGUCUGCUCCCGUGGGCUGCCUGCAGUAGGAACUGGAGGAGUGAUAGGAUGUCCUCUGGUCUCCUUCACUCUGUGUUGCAGCAAGGUUGGAGUCACAGUGUUCACUUUCAGGUUGCCUCCAAGUCACAGUGAUAGUUGAGAGAGAACAAAAGGAUCUGGAGGAACUGAGUUGGAGAGAAGGCUGUAAUUACUAAACAUGCAUCAAUUGCCUUAAGGGUAAGCCGGGAAGAUGGGGUGACGAGGUAAAGAAUUUAGAGGACAUGUACACAGAGAGAGAGAGGAUGUCCAUGGGAGCCACGGAGCAGCCACUACAGAGUGAAUAAAAUCAAACAGCAGGAAAGUAGACAAGGUAUGUUCUGUUCCUGGCACUGAAGUUGAUCUCUGGAAUGAUCUUGGACAAGGUACUUGAUUUACUUGGCUGUCACUUCUCUUGCACAGUAUUGGAAACUUCAUUUGUUGUUGCUGCUGAAUGGUUUUUAGGUGGAGCCCCAAUGGCACACUGCUCGUGGGGAGCACACACACAGCUGGGUGCCUGCUGCUGGGUUCUCUCCUGCAGGAUGUCUCCUGAGAUUCUGCUAUAAGAAGUUGAGUCUUUUAUCUGUGUAUUUUAAGCGUUACCCUUUCUGCUGAAAAAACUGUAACAGCGAUAAUAAAUCUGCAAGAUGCUCAGAAUUCUGUGGAUAUACAAGUAUUUAUAUAUGCUAGCAUCAUGUUUUAAAUUUACUUGAAUGUUCAAAGUACGAUCUGAGAUUGUCAUGCACACUUGGUUACUGUAGUAAGCUGUGUGCUUAGAUACACUGCUGUUAAAUGGAGGAGUCUAGCUCUUGCUGCAGGAACAUAGCUAGGGGUUACAGGAAGGGGUUGUAGGUCAGUAAAAUAUUGCCAGUUGAAUGUAAGGUGAAAGCGAUGAUGUUUGAGAUCCUGCAAACAGGGAUCAUCUCCCCGAUAAGGUGCUGAUGCUUGAAAGCAGUCAUCAGUGCACUUGAGACUACAAUGGUAGGAGUAAGCUCGUGGUAUGCAAUGGCAUAGGAAAUGAAGUGAAUCAUUUCCUGUUCAAUUGUUCAGGCUCUUGGUAAGGCCCAAAGGACAGCAAAUGCAGAAGAUUUUCCCCUUCCUCUCAGAACGACGUUUCAUUGCACAGCACAUGCACUUGUUGAACUUUGUCUUUUUGGCAUCUUCAUGCCUUUCAGUAGACAGAGAAGGAAUACAGAAGUAUGUGCAUAGCAUAAUCCACUAUAGUUAUCAUUGAGCAUUCAGAAAAAGCCUCAAGAAUAUCCCAGAGCACUGCUAAGGUUAAUUGACUGCUUGAAGGCGUCAGUACACACUCCAGAAAAUAAUAAUUUUUGGACUGAAAUCGACAGUUCUGCAUUCACUGUCUGUGACUCUCAGAUAAGCACUGUCCUGUCUUGAAGCUGAAUUUGUCCUGUCUUGAAGCCGAAUUAUCUGAGGUAGCUGAAUGAUGCAGAACUGGUGAAGGUGGGUGUUUACAGCAGGUCUCUCUGGGACUAACCCAUUGCUUAAGACACCUUAAAGCAAGGUACUAGGGGAGGGUCUGUACUAUGCCAAACUGCAAUAACCGAUAUUUUUGGCAGCAGGCAGAUUCCAUACCUUUCCUGUCACUGUAGACAGACAGAGCAGUCACAGGUAGUCAUGGUUAUAUCAAAAUACUAAAUAUCCAAAGAUGUUAUAUUCAGGUAGGGCUCAGAGAUGUAGUUGACAAAAAAAUAAAUAAAUGAACAUCCAGAAUAUUAUUGUGCUGUAAAUCAACUGCCAUCACUGUGCAGAGCCAGCUGAGUUCUGAUGCAUGAUGCAUCGGUAUGUUCUGUACCACGCGUGCUGCUGUGUUGGACACCUAGGGGCACAUCUGUGGUAGUAAUUUGUUACCUGAGUCUCGUAACAGGAGGAUGAGGUUAAGCUUAAGUAUAAGGGGAAGACAUGAAGGAAUCAGAAGAUACCAGCCUGAAUCUUUCAAGCCGGUAGUUACUGAGAUGGUUUGCAGCCUCAAGUGUUGCCUGAAGUCUCUGCUCUGAAAGUCGUUGCUGUUGUGAUUACUGUUCUAUAUGAACAGCUGGAUACAUAUCUGAACAGUAUGUUCAGCUGAGGCUCUCACUGAAAAGCCAGCACUGGCAAGGCUCACCAGCUCCAGCAAUGACGUACUCUCCAGCAGGCUGGCAGAUGUGUGCGUAUGUGUGUGCGUCUAUCUCUGUAUAAAUAACAGCCGUGUAGGUGAGGCUGUCUGUCUGAACACCUAAGAAUGUCUUUUGGCUGCAGGGUUUUCCUUGUUCCCAGUUCUUCAAAUGACCACAUUAAUCCUGUUCACAGCAAUCUCAGUACAAACUGUUUUCUGGGAGAGGAGAGUUAUUGGUUUUAGGACAAAUGCAUAUCAUUGAAGCAGGUGAGUACAUGUAGUGCAUUUCUUACUGUUGGAUGAUCAUUCUGUAUACUCCAUAUGCUUCAGCACUGUCUGUACAAACAGUAAAUCAAGUACUGAGAGCCUUCAGAGGGAUCUGUACCUUCUGAAGAGCUCUGGGACUUUUUCCAUCUCCACAGCUUACCCGGUGGUCUCUGCUGCAUCAUCCUCAGAACUGAACCCAGAGACCUUCAGCACCGUGGUGUGGAGUACUUGAGCAGAUACUGAUCAAAUGACCGGUGGUGCUUCCUUCCUGGGAACAGAUGUCUUCUCAAGAAUAUCUCUGUCUGGCAGACUAAUGCCUCAGUGCCUCCUUGCCAGCGAAACGAAACAACCUGUAGUUUAAGAAAACCUGUCAAAAUUACUUAGGUACCUCUCAAUGUCAAAUCCCACAUGGUACGAAAUAUGACCAGGUUAAUCUCUGUACUCAUCUCAUUGCCAAUUGUCUGCUUUUAAAGAUAUUUAAGACACAAACUAUGCAACCAAUUUAUAGUGCUACAGAGGGAUUGAUUGGCACUGUCAGAAAACCAGCCAUGUGCUGAGGCCAGUAAAAGACUUAAUUUUUGUUUCUUUUUUUGCCCAGAUGAAUGGUUCAAGUAAUUAGUUUAAGGAGACUGGAUCAAUAACUGGUUAAAUGAACGGCUUGAUUCAAAAAAAGCCUCAGGUUUGGCCCCGUCUGAGAAAGUUUUAGCAGUUUGGCUGGGCUUGGUGAUGCUGUUCGUUCACUCUUGUAUGAGGUACCUGGAGCUGGCAACAUUUCUGCUUUGUGAUGCUGAUGCAUGCAACUUGGCAAGUCUGCCUGUUCUUGCAGAGCAGAUGAGCAUAGAGUGAGGCAGGAAGAACAGGUAGCAGAUGUAGAAUACUUCUUACAUACUUCACUCUGAUUCAUAUGGGCUGCAAGAGAAAAUGCUGCAAAAAGAAAGAUUCAGGUCCAGGGGGUGAAAAGGAGAGGGAAAACGCAUUUCAAAACAACUCAAGCUGGUGUGACCUACUGUGUAUUUACUUACUGCUGAACACAGGGAGAGUGAAAAUAGAAGUCUUUAUAUCCAGAAAGGACUUUUCGUCUAUAGGAAGGCUGUUUUUUGGUCUGCUCAGCGUUGCAAACACAGGACUGUCAGCCCAAGCAGCGAUGCUUAUGAUAACAGGCAGACCAACGCCGGCGUGGACUUUCAGAGUCAGACACACAUACCACUAGUUUGUGUUAGUAAUAUGAUCUCUGUGCAGGUUUUAUGACAGAGCUUUGUUGUGUGAGGCUGGAGAGAGAGAUUUGAAAACAAAAUACCCCCCAGGGGAUCCUGUGCUGCUGAACCAUUGGAGAUGAUUUGGCAGUGCACCAGCCCCCAGAAUAACGAGAUUGAAAAUGAGCUCUGACAGGUUAGAUAUAAUACUGCAGGGCCAGCUGUGCCAGGCACCAGCCUCCCCAUUGGCAUGCCAAGGAGUUUCAGCUGCAAAGGCGUGUGCAGGGAGAACUCAUUCCACUGCAGAAUGGAAACAAUGACCUCCUUCCAAACUGGGACUGCUUUGGAGGCUGAAUCCAAGAGAACACAUUCUCAUGGAGCAGGGAUUGGCAGUCCGUACCUCUGCUGAGUCUGAUCCUGUGAACGGGCACAGAGCAGCUCAGGAGUGUGCUGGAGCCCUGGAUUUUCACUGCAAGUUGGAGAUCUAUCUCCUUUGGGAAAUGCCAUUCUAGCUUCAGUUCCUGAAUGCUGCCCAAAGGAUAUGUUUGGUUUUCUGUGUGCAAGACUUUUGGUCCUGGAAUAAACUGCAUAGUGUAAAAAGGGGCUAAAAUGAAACUUCUGAGCUCUUGGAUGGCUCAAGGUGAACGUUCAAACACAGGAGUGGAUGUGGGUGGAAGCACACAGCCCACCCAUUGAGUAUUUGGACUGAGGAUUACAGUAUAGCUGCUGUUUGGACUGGGUGUGUUAGCAGAGCUGUGUCUGACUGGAGCCCUCUGUGUUCAACUCAAUAAAAGAGAAUUGGAAGGAAAUGCUGCUGCCUGUAAAUGACUGUGACAGACCUGUGCAAUGAGAAAUAUCUGUCAGCGUGUUCAUAUACAAUAGGUUUAUUCAUUUAAAUCAUAAGUUUGCUAGCAAAUUUUUAACAAGCCUACUCUAGUGGAAAACUCAGCCCUAAUUAGUUCAUUUCUCUCUCUGGACUUAAGAAAAUGAAGGAGAAGAAAAUACAGAUUUAUUUAUUCUUCCCUCUCAGCCCAACUCUCUUCCAAAAUUGAGAAGAAUUUGCAUAUGUGGCCUGAAUGCAGUUUGGUUCUGAGCAAAGCACUGCUAACACUGCCAGGUGUGGUGUCUGUAUCUGCAAUGCUAAAAUGUGCUCAGUUUGGAGAGGAAAUGCUGCUUUGUGUGUCCAGUGUGGCAGUGCUCUCAGAGGCUGGUGGGAUGUGCAGGGGAAGCAGAGCUGAAGAAAUCCUUUCAUUGCCUUUGCUGAAGAGUUCUGCCUGCAUGCAACCGGAGAUAGAAAUGAAAGGUUGGAGUUGGAACUGCACAGGAGCCCUUGCUGGCUGCUGUGCGUGGGAAUGUGCCACAGGUGACUUCACUGUGCUCUCAUUGGGGACAUACAGGAUGUGAGAAAGAUAACCAGCUGCUAUACUGCUAUACUUCUGCAGCACCAGUGUAGCCUGUAGUCCAAGUCUUGCUAUAUUAAAACCCAGAUAAAGAUUAGGAGCCUUACGUUUAAUGGCUUCUAGUCAUAAUUCCGACAACCAUCCUGAGCUUGAGCUUCAUGAGACAUUUCCCAAGAUAAAUCCAACUCUUCUCAGUCACCUAAUCUGUCAGGGGCCAGGUAAAAUAUUUCAUGGACAUCAGUGUUUAAUUUCGCAUCCAAAUUUCUAACGGGGAAAAGGGAGCUGUGGUUCCUCCCCGAGCUGUGAACGCGGAGCCUGUUCUGCUGCCCCGGUGAAAUACCAGCUUCACAGAACCUCCUGCAUUCCUUGCCAACAGGUUCACACCAAAACCAACGCUGCAGAUAAUCCUGAAAUUACUCUUCCAGCCUUUCUGCCAUCCAUGAUGCAAGUGAAAUAAGGACCAGUUAGUCUGCAGGACAUCUGAUGCCCUGUCUGUCUUCCAAGACCAGAUAAAAGCUGCAAACUAAACAUUCAUAUGGACUUCGUUUUUAAAAGCAAGAUCCUUGAAAAUUAAUACUGGAAUCUGAAACUCUUUUCUGCCCAGGGCUUUCUUGGCAGCUUUAAGCACGCUUUGCAGCCUAUUCUAAUGUCUAGUCAGGUUUUCAGCUGAAGGAAAUUCUGUUUUCCUUAUGGACAUAAAGAGAUUUUUCUGGCUUUUUAAAGCUGUUUUCUUCCAAGAAGGUAUGUUCAGUUAUCUAUUCAUCUUCCCUCAGAUGGAGCCAUUGUAUUUU
ensembl:lncRNA